rnacentral:ncRNA from 1 species
CUAUGACUCUCUUAAGGUAUCCAAAUUCCUUGCCAUCUAAUUAGUGAUGCACAUGAAUGGAUUAACUAGAUUCCCACUAUCCCUAUAUACUAUCUAGUGAAACCACAACCAAGGGAAUGGGCUUGGAAUAAUCAACAGGGAAAGAAGACCUUGUUGAGAUUGACUCUAGUUGGACUUUUUGAAAUGAAUUGAGAGUUGUAGAAUAAGUGGGAAUUGUUUUCAGCACAAAUGAAAUACCACUACUUUUAACAUUACUUUACUUAUAAUUUUGUGGGGUGGAGACGAGGCAGUUACCCUAUUUUUGGCCUGAAGUCAUGUUUCGAUGGGUCGAUCUGGGAGGAAGACAUUUCCAGGUGGGGAUUUUGUAUGGCGAAACACAUCUAUUAAAAUAUAACAUAAAAUAUAAUUGUUGUAUAUAGAACAUUUGUAUUUGGGAGAUCCUAGUGCACAACCACCCUUAUUACCUUCCCCUCCUAAUUUGUAGUUUGUUAGGGUCCUAACCUGCACAUAGGUAGAUCAAUAUAUUCGGAUGUAAUAAAGGUCAAUAUUAAUAAGGCCUUUCAAUAAAAUAGAAUAAGGAAGAUGUAACAAGACCUAAUAGAAGUUUCCACUUCUAGAAGGAUCUUCCUCUAGAUGCUUCUCUU